CGACGAACGCUGGCGGCGUGCCUAAUACAUGCAAGUAGGACGCACAGUUUAUACCGUAGCUUGCUACACCAUAGACUGUGAGUUGCGAACGGGUGAGUAACGCGUAGGUAACCUGCCUAUUAGAGGGGGAUAACUAUUGGAAACGAUAGCUAAUACCGCAUAACAGUAUGUAACACAUGUUAGAUGCUUGAAAGAUGCAAUUGCAUCGCUAGUAGAUGGACCUGCGUUGUAUUAGCUAGUAGGUAGGGUAAUGGCCUACCUAGGCAACGAUACAUAGCCGACCUGAGAGGGUGAUCGGCCACACUGGGACUGAGACACGGCCCAGACUCCUACGGGAGGCAGCAGUAGGGAAUCUUCGGCAAUGGGGGGAACCCUGACCGAGCAACGCCGCGUGAGUGAAGAAGGUUUUCGGAUCGUAAAGCUCUGUUGUUAAGGAAGAACGAGUGUGAGAAUGGAAAGUUCAUGCUGUGACGGUACUUAACCAGAAAGGGACGGCUAACUACGUGCCAGCAGCCGCGGUAAUACGUAGGUCCCGAGCGUUGUCCGGAUUUAUUGGGCGUAAAGCGAGCGCAGGCGGUUAGAAAAGUCUGAAGUGAAAGGCAGUGGCUCAACCAUUGUAGGCUUUGGAAACUGUUUAACUUGAGUGCAGAAGGGGAGAGUGGAAUUCCAUGUGUAGCGGUGAAAUGCGUAGAUAUAUGGAGGAACACCGGUGGCGAAAGCGGCUCUCUGGUCUGUAACUGACGCUGAGGCUCGAAAGCGUGGGGAGCGAACAGGAUUAGAUACCCUGGUAGUCCACGCCGUAAACGAUGAGUGCUAGGUGUUAGGUCCUUUCCGGGACUUAGUGCCGCAGCUAACGCAUUAAGCACUCCGCCUGGGGAGUACGACCGCAAGGUUGAAACUCAAAGGAAUUGACGGGGGCCCGCACAAGCGGUGGAGCAUGUGGUUUAAUUCGA
rnacentral:rRNA from 1 species